CCUGAUGCAGCGACGCCGCGUGAGGGAUGAAGGCCUUCGGGUUGUAAACCUCUUUCAGCAGGGACGAAGCGAAAGUGACGGUACCUGCAGAAGAAGCACCGGCUAACUACGUGCCAGCAGCCGCGGUAAUACGUAGGGUGCGAGCGUUGUCCGGAAUUACUGGGCGUAAAGAGUUCGUAGGCGGUUUGUCGCGUCGUCUGUGAAAACCCAUCGCUCAACGAUGGGCCGGCAGGCGAUACGGGCAGACUUGAGUACUGCAGGGGAGACUGGAAUUCCUGGUGUAGCGGUGAAAUGCGCAGAUAUCAGGAGGAACACCGGUGGCGAAGGCGGGUCUCUGGGCAGUAACUGACGCUGAGGAACGAAAGCGUGGGUAGCAAACAGGAUUAGAUACCCUGGUAGUCCACGCCGUAAACGGUGGGCGCUAGGUGUGGGUUCCUUCCACGGGAUCUGUGCCGUAGCUAACGCAUUAAGCGCCCCGCCUGGGGAGUACGGCCGCAAGGCUAAAACUCAAAGGAAUUGACGGGGGCCCGCACAAGCGGCGGAGCAUGUGGAUUAAUUCGAUGCAACGCGAAGAACCUUACCUGGGUUUGACAUAUACUGGAAAGCUGCAGAGAUGUAGCCCCCCUUGUGGCC
rnacentral:rRNA from 1 species